GGUUUUUUUUAAACAUCACUGGAUUUCUUGAUUGAGGAAACAAGUUCUGAAAUAAUAGCACAAUUUCGAAGAAAAGACUGUUUGCAAAGUUGAUAACAUUUCAAACCCUGAAGGACAGUGGCUUAUUGUUUUCUUGAAGAUGGCU
rnacentral:lncRNA from 1 species